CAAGAAAAAUCAAGAAAAGAGAACAGCAAUUCUGCUUUCUCGAUUCCUUGAUCCAAAGCAGAACAGUAGGAGUGAAGCGAGGAGGAUAAAAAUUAACACUAAAAAAUUUGAUGAGGCUCGCAGCUAUAGUUUCGAGGGUCGUCAGAAAUGGAAUAGGGUCCGUUUUAGCGGUUAAACCACUGCAUCCGCCACCUCCAAAAGUGGUGGCACCGCCGCUCAGACAAUUUUCAGCCACUAGCACGCCCAACCCAGUUGCAGUUGAAAUGAUCAAAUACGCCACCUCUCUUGCCCGCGAUAAGAAAACAGAAGAAUCUUACGCGCAAGGAUUGUUGGUGUUGGAACAGUGCGAAUCAACUCUACCAGAUGAGAAUUCCAAGGGUUUGGUCGAGCUUGCUCGCUCUACCUUAAUGUUUGAGAGAGGGUUCCAUGAGACAGCAAUUGAGGGAUUGGGAAAGCUUCAAGAUUUAAGCUUGUCUUCUCUUGAUAUCAAAGUUGCUGCUUCUGAAGCUCUGGUGGGAAUUUAUCUACAAAUAUAUCGAGAGGAUGCAGCAUCAGCUGUUGCAGAUUUGGCAUUGCAAAUCCUAGGAUCAAUUAGACAUGGAUUAGGUGAUGGGGGUGGCUUUGAGGUUCUAGAAGCCCGAAUCAAAGCUCUGAAAGGUCUGAUCGAGCUCAUAUGCGGUGACACUGAAUCUGCACAGUCAGUCUUUGAGGGAAUACCGGGAGAGGGAUUAUUGAGUGCCAAUGCUGCCCUGUCUUAUGGCGAGUUCCUUCAUGGAACGCUGAAAUUUUCCACUGCAAAGGAGUUGUACCAGAGAGUAAUUCAGGCAAUGUCCGACAUCAAGGAUUUUGGUGAUCCUAACAACCUUGGAGCUUGUAACAUGACACCACGGGAAGUUGCAAUUGCUGCUGGUUGUUCUUUAGGGCAGCUCGAGGCCCAUGUGGGGAAUUUUAGUGAUGCAGAGGAGAUACUGACCACUGCAAUGAAUCAAGUGGAAGAGCACUUUGGCCCUCAACAUCCCAAAAUUGGUGUCGUUCUGACCUGCAUUGCUCUCAUGUAUCGGCUAAAAGCCAUGGCGGAGCGCUCGAGCUUCCUUCUAAUUCAGGAGGGUCUUUUCAGAAGAGCAAUCGAGCUGCUUAAAGCUCCAUCUUUAGAGGGUCAUGGUGUCGAUGGAAACAUUAGCAUGAACGAUAUAAUCGCACUAGCAAGAGGUGGGUAUGCAGAAACGCUUCUUGUGCAACAGUCGAGAAAAGCAGAAGGGGAGAGAUUGAAACAUUGGGCAGAAACUGCUUGGGGAAACCGGUGGAUGUCACUGGGCGAAGCAUUGGAGCUGUCGGAAUCUUCGCCUAAGGUGCCGGUCAUAGAUACUCGGAUAUGCCGUGCGGUUUAGUUUCGUGUACAUAAUAUGAUGCUUAGAUGGUCUUGCCUCUCCUAGACAAAGCAGGCAGCAACACCUAACACUUAAUAUGUGGAGAAAAUGGUUCAUUUGUUGAGGUUUGGUAAUAAGGAGGCAAGCAUGGAGGUCAUAUGAUUCCUAAUUGAGGGUGGAAUGUAAAAUAUAAUGAAGGAUCCGAAUAUGAACCAGGAAAAACAGAGUGGCCCGAAGUCGUCGGACUUGCCUCAGAAGAAGCAGAGAACAAGAUAAAGAGAGAGGCUGUGGUGCCUUCCAAUUCAUUUGUGACAACGCAUGGAUCGGGUUAGAAUCUUCAUAGAUUCCUCCGCCAAAGUUAUUAAACCACCCAGAAUUGGAUAAUACUUGUACUUCAAUAAUAUAUUCAUCACUUUGUACUUGUGCAUUUUCUCAGAUUUCCCAUAAUAGUAGAUAAAUAAUUGGCACGUU